UACGUAGGUGGCAAGCGUUAUCCGGAAUUAUUGGGCGUAAAGCGCGCGCAGGUGGUUUCUUAAGUCUGAUGUGAAAGCCCACGGCUCAACCGUGGAGGGUCAUUGGAAACUGGGAGACUUGAGUGCAGGAGAGGAACGCGGAAUUCCAGGUGUAGCGGUGAAAUGCGUAGAUAUCGGGAGGAACACCAGUGGCGAAGGCGGCGAUCUGGGAAGAUACUGACGCUGAGGUGCGAAAGCGUGGGGAGCAAACAGG
rnacentral:rRNA from 1 species